GAAAGAACCCAGACCGACGGCUAAGGUCCCGAAGUGCAGGCUAAGUGGGAAACGAAGUGGGGGUGUCAAGACAGCCAGGAGGUUGGCUCAGAAGCAGCCAUCCUUUAAAGAGUGCGUAACAGCUCACUGGUCAAAUGCACCUGCGCGGACAAUGUAACGGGGCUCAAGCCUGCCACCGAAGCCACGGGAGAUAACUGAGGUUAUUUCAGUAGGGGAGCGUUGUCACCAUCGAGGAAGCGACAGGGGAACCCGUCGUGGAGAGGUGAGAAGCGAGAAUGCCGGCAUGAGUAGCGAAACAUGUGUGAGAACCAUAUGCGCCGAAAACCUGAGGUUUCCGACGGAAGGUCAGUCCACGUCGGGUUAGUCGGGCCUUAGCCGAAGCCGGAAGGCGGAGGUGAUGGACAACCGGUAAACAAUCCGGUACCACCAGGUUGGAGCGAAGGGGAGACGCCGCCGGGAAGGUCAGCCUCCAGAUGGAGGGAGGUGCCAAGGCUGCAAGGCGAGGAAGGUCAGAGGGAAAACCCUGACAAGCCUCUAAGCGAAGAAGACGUGGUGUCCGUACCGCAAACCGACACAGGUAGGAAAGUCGAAAAGACUCAGGCGCACGGGAGAACCCUUGUUAAGGAACUAGGCAACAUAGCCGCGUAACUUCGGGAAAAGCGGCGCUCAGUAAAAUGAGCCGCAGAGAAAUGGCCCUACCGACUGUUUAACAAAAACACAGGUCUCUGCGAACGCGAAAGCGGACGUAUAGGGGCUGACACCUGCCCGGUGCCGGAAGGUUAAGGGGAGAGGUCAAGACGACCAAGGUCGUUUGAAGCUUUGAACCGAAGCCCCGGUGAACGGCGGCCGUAACUAUAACGGUCGAAGCCCCGGUGAACGGCGGCCGUAACUAUAACGGUCCUAAGGUAGCGAAAUUCCUUGUCGGGUAAGUUCCGACCCGCACGAAUGGUGUAACGAGUGGGGCACUGUCUCAACAAGGGGCCCGGUGAAAUUGAAGUCUGCGUCAAGAUGCGCAGGACCCGCAGCAGGACAAAAAGACCCCGUGGAGCUUUACUGCAGCUUGCCAUAGCGUGAGGGCUGUGUCUGUGUAGGAUAGCUGGGAGGCAAGGAAGGUGGGACGCCAGUCUCGCUGGAGCCGACCUUGGAAUACCAGCCUGAUACAGAACUGACCCUAACCUGGGAAACUGGGGACGGUGGCAGGUGGGCAGUUUGACUGGGGCGGUCGCCUGCGAAAGAGUAACGGAGGCGCCCAAAGGUACCCUCAGGCUGAAUGGAAACCAGCCAAAGAGUGUAAAGGCAGAAGGGUGCUUGACUGCGAGGAAGACGAUCCGAGCAGAGACGAAAGUCGGGCUUAGUGAUCCCACGGCACCGGGUGGAAGGGCCGUGGCUUACCGGAUAAAAGCUACCCCGGGGAUAACAGGCUAGUCUUGUCCAAGAGUUCACAUCGACGACAAGGCUCGGCACCUCGAUGUCGGCUCAUCACAUCCUGGGGCUGGAUCAGGUCCCAAGGGUCGGGCUGUUCGCCCGUUAAAGUGGUACGUGAGCUGGGUUCAGACCGUCGUGAGACAGGUCGGUCUCUAUCCGCUGUGGGCGUAGGAGAUUUGAGAGGAGCUGCCCCUAGUACGAGAGGACCGGGGUGGACCGACCGCUGGUGUGCCAGUUGUGUCGCCAGACGCAUCGCUGGGUAGCUAAGUCGGGAAGAGAUAACCGCUGAAAGCAUCUAAGUGGGAAACUCACCUCAAGAUGAGAUCUCUCAGACCGCUGGAAGACGACCAGUUGGAUAGGCGGGAGGUGUACGUAUCGCGAGAUACUCAGCUGACCCGUACUAACGGUCGACCACUUGUCU
rnacentral:rRNA from 1 species